AUUGAACGCUGGCGGCAGGCUUAACACAUGCAAGUCGAGCGAGCGGCGGACGGGUGAGCAAUGUCUGGGAAACUGCCUGAUGGAGGGGGAUAACUACUGGAAACGUUAGCUAAUACCGCAUACCAUCAGAUGUGCCCAGAUGGGAUUAGCUAGUAGGUGGGGUAAUGGCUCACCUAGGCGACGCUCCCUAGCUGGUCUUAGAGGAUGCCCUGCCCCCCUGGUACUGAGACGCGGUCCAGAAUCCUACGGGAGGCAGCAGUGGGGAAUAUUUCACAAUGGGCGCAAGCCUGAUGCAGCCAUGCCGCGUUUGUGAAGAAGGCCUUCGGGUUGUAAAGCACUUUCAGCGAGGAGGCGUUACUCGCAGAAGAAGCACCGGCUAACUCCGUGCCAGCCGCCGCGGUAAUAC
rnacentral:rRNA from 1 species